AGAGAGAGAGAGCGAGAGAGAGAGAGAGAGAGAGAGAGAGAGAGAGAGAGAGAGAGAGAGAGAGAGAGAGAGAGAGAGANNNNNNNNNNAACAAGUUCCAGUUACAUAAUAAGGUGAUUACAGAUUUGGGAUUUGCCAACUGUGUUGCCUUGACUACGCACAAGCAUUGUUGAGUGGUGUGAUGACAUUGGCCUCUGAAAACUCUAAGCAGCUUUUUAAUUUCUUUCAACUAAACUAUACUCUGCCGUGGAUGUGAAAUGAUGCUAAGUGAAAGUCAGUAGGAAACAAAUAGAAAUCAUCGAAGACCCAAGUAAGUGAGGAGGCAAGUGAGAACAGAAGGAUGAAAGUCAUCUAAGGUGAAUCUCAUCUCGGCUCUUGAUGUGUGAUGGAUCUGAGCUGUAACAGCUGCAGAGGGAGCUGCUGGAACUGCCAAAUAAUUCUCAAGUUUUUAUCUGGAUGUCUGGAGACCUCUGCUUCCUGGCCUUUUAUAUUUCACUUCUCCACCACGAUCCUUUGUACAAAACCUUCCUUCUGAUUCUGCAAACUGAAUUCUUCACUGCCUACUCAUGGAAAGGAACUACAUUGAGCCUUCUGCUAAUAAGACAAGACCACAGUAAGAGCUUGAUGUUUGCCUUCCUGGGAGAGAAUGGCCGGUUCUCUUGAAAAACAAAAGUUAAAUUCUUC
rnacentral:lncRNA from 1 species